UAACAACUCUCAGCAACGGAUAUCUCGGCUCUUGCAUCGAUGAAGAACGCAGCGAAAUGCGAUAAAUGGUGUGAAUUGCAGAAUCCCGUGAACCAUCGAGUCUUUGAACGCAAGUUGCGCCCGAGGCCAUCAGGCUAAGGGCACGCCUGCCUGGGCAUUGCGA
rnacentral:rRNA from 1 species